AGUGAACGCUGGCGGUAGGCCUAACACAUGCAAGUCGAACGGCAGCACAGUAAGAGCUUGCUCUUACGGGUGGCGAGUGGCGGACGGGUGAGGAAUACAUUGGAAUCUACUUUUUCGUGGGGGAUAACGUAGGGAAACUUACGCUAAUACCGCAUACGACCUACGGGUGAAAGCAGGGGAUCUUCGGACCUUGCGCGAUUGAAUGAGCCGAUGUCGGAUUAGCUAGUUGGCGGGGUAAAGGCCCACCAAGGCGACGAUCCGUAGCUGGUCUGAGAGGAUGAUCAGCCACACUGGAACUGAGACACGGUCCAGACUCCUACGGGAGGCAGCAGUGGGGAAUAUUGGACAAUGGGCGCAAGCCUGAUCCAGCCAUACCGCGUGGGUGAAGAAGGCCUUCGGGUUGAAAAGCCCUUUUGUUGGGAAAGAAAAGCAGCAGGUUAAUACCCCGCUGUUCUGACGGUACCCAAAGAAUAAGCACCGGCUAACUUCGUG
rnacentral:rRNA from 1 species